GGAAUAGCUCAGUUGGUAAAGUGCAUGCUUUGCAUGCACAAGGCCCUGGGUUCGAUUCCCAGACCA
rnacentral:tRNA from 1 species